GGAUGAGCCUGCGUCCCAUUAGCUAGUUGGUGGGGUAAUGGCCUACCAAGGCUGUGAUGGGUAGCUGGUCUGAGAGGAUGAUCAGCCACACUGGAACUGAAACACGGUCCGGACUCCUACGGGAGGCAGCAGUGGGGAAUCUUGCGCAAUGGACGAAAGUCUGACGCAGCCACGCCGCGUGAGUGAAGAAGGCCUUCGGGUUGUAAAGCUCUGUCGCACGGGACGAAAAGUCGGGAGGUCAAUAGCCUCUCCGAUGUGACGGUACCGUGAAAGGAAGCAC
rnacentral:rRNA from 1 species